AUUGAACGCUGGCGGCAGGCCUAACACAUGCAAGUCGAGCGGAUGAAGGGAGCUUGCUCCUGGAUUCAGCGGCGGACGGGUGAGUAAUGCCUAGGAAUCUGCCUGGUAGUGGGGGAUAACGUCCGGAAACGGGCGCUAAUACCGCAUACGUCCUGAGGGAGAAAGUGGGGGAUCUUCGGACCUCACGCUAUCAGAUGAGCCUAGGUCGGAUUAGCUAGUUGGUGGGGUAAAGGCCUACCAAGGCGACGAUCCGUAACUGGUCUGAGAGGAUGAUCAGUCACACUGGAACUGAGACACGGUCCAGACUCCUACGGGAGGCAGCAGUGGGGAAUAUUGGACAAUGGGCGAAAGCCUGAUCCAGCUAUGCCGCGUGUGUGAAGAAGGUCUUCGGAUUGUAAAGCACUUUAAGUUGGGAGGAAGGGCAGUGAGUUAAUACCUUGCUGUUUUGACGUUACCAACAGAAUAAGCACCGGCUAACUUCGUG
rnacentral:rRNA from 1 species